rnacentral:rRNA from 1 species
GUCUGUAUGAAGUUAUAUGGAGUCUAGCCUGCCCACUGAGUAUUUUAAAGGCCGCAGUAUAUUAACUGUGCAAAGGUAGCAUAAUCAUUAGUUUUUUAAUUGAAGGCUUGUAUGAAGGGUUGGACAAAGAAUAAUCUGUUUCUAUUUUUGUUUUUGAAUUUAACUUUUAAGUGAAAAGGCUUAAGUAAUUUUGAGGGACGAUAAGACCCUAUAAAUCUUUAUAUUAAGUUGUUUUUAGCUGAUUAAUGUUGUAGAUUCAGUAUUAAGACAAAAUAUAUUAUGUUGGGGUGAUGAGAAUACAAUAGAUACCUGUUCUAAAAUAUCAAACAAAAAUUUUUGUGUGAGUAGAAGAUCCUCUUUAUUGAGAUCAGGAGUUUAAGUUACUUUAGGGAUAACAGCGUUAUUUUUUUUGAGAGUUCUUAUCGAAAAAAAAGUUUGCGACCUCGAUGUUGAAUUAAAUUUUCUUUGUGGUGUAGU